GAGGGUAUAGCUUAAGUCGUAGAGCACAUGUUUAACAUGCACAAGGUCCUGGGUUCAAUAUCCAGUACCUCCU
rnacentral:tRNA from 1 species